rnacentral:lncRNA from 1 species
CCACGUUCAGCUCUGCAAACCAGACUAAAUCCAGGGACAGAGCUGGGGGCCGGACCCCUGAGACCAGGACGCAGGUUGUCGGCUGCUGGCCUGGGCACCUUCGAGGACAUCGAACUGAACUCCUUCCUGCCCGGCCGCCCUGGCCAUGGGUGACAGCUGACUGCGCGGCUCCCUGCACGCUUGCCAAGGGCGGAGGAGGGACACGAGCCACGGAGGCUCCCGGCCCAGCCUGAGCUGAUUUCAACCCCGCUUACUGCCUCCACCUCGCCCAGACGCCCCUCUUCCCCCUCGUUGGUUCCUUGGCGGCUCCAGGCCCCUGUUUGCUCUUCUUAAGGGUGGAAAUGGCGACACCCACCCUGCGGCCCCCU